rnacentral:rRNA from 1 species
AACGAACGCUGGCGGCGUGUCUUAAGCAUGCAAGUCGUGCGGCAAGGGCAGCAAUGCCCCUAGAGCGGCGGACUGGUGAGUAACGCGUGGGUGAUCUGCCCUUGGGAUGGGGAUAGCCACUAGAAAUAGUGGGUAAUACCGAAUACGUUCCCCCGACUGUGGUUGGGGGAGGAAAAGCGCUUCGGCGCUGCCCGAGGAUGAGCCCGCGUCCCAUUAGCUAGUUGGUGAGGUAAAGGCCCACCAAGGCGAUGAUGGGUAGGCGGCCUGAGAGGGCGUACGCCCACACUGGGACUGAGAUACGGCCCAGACUCCUACGGGAGGCAGCAGCUAAGAAUAUUCCGCAAUGGACGAAAGUCUGACGGAGCGACGCCGCGUGGAUGAAGAAGGCCGAAAGGUUGUAAAGUCCUUUGUUGGGGAAGAAUAAGCGCGGGAGGGAAUGCCCGCGUGAUGACAUGAACCGACGAAUAAGCCCGGCUAACUACGUGCCAGCAGCCGCGGUAA